rnacentral:rRNA from 1 species
CCUACGGGGGGCAGCAGUGGGGGAUAUUGCACAAUGGGGGGAACCCUGAUGCAGCGACGCCGCGUGGGUGAAGGAGUAUUUCGGUAUGUAAAGCCCUAUCGGCAGGGAAGAAGCAAGACGGUACCUGACUAAGAAGCACCGGCUAACUACGUGCCAGCAGCCGCGGUAAUACGUAGGGGGCGAGCGUUAUCCGGAUUCACUGGGUGUAAAGGGAGCGUAGACGGCCAUGCAAGCCAGGGGUGAAAUCCCGGGGCCCAACCCCGGGACUGCCCUUGGAACUGCAUGGCUGGAGUGCGGGGGGGGCAGGCGGAAGUCCUGGUGUAGCGGUGAAAUGCGUAGAUAUCAGGAGGAACACCGGCGGCGAAGGCGGCCUGCUGGACCGCGACUGACGUUGAGGCUCGAAAGCGUGGGGAGCGAACAGGAUUAGAUACCCGGGUAGUC